GAUGAACGCUGGCGGCGUGCCUAAUACAUGCAAGUCGAGCGAACAGACGAGGAGCUUGCUCCUCUGACGUUAGCGGCGGACGGGUGAGUAACACGUGGAUAACCUACCUAUAAGACUGGGAUAACUUCGGGAAACCGGAGCUAAUACCGGAUAAUAUAUUGAACCGCAUGGUUCAAUAGUGAAAGACGGUUUUGCUGUCACUUAUAGAUGGAUCCGCGCCGCAUUAGCUAGUUGGUAAGGUAACGGCUUACCAAGGCAACGAUGCGUAGCCGACCUGAGAGGGUGAUCGGCCACACUGGAACUGUGACACGGUCCAGGCUCCUACGGGAGGCAGCAGUAGGGAAUCUUCCGCAAUGGGCGAAAGCCUGACGGAGCAACGCCGCGUGAGUGAUGAAGGUCUUCGGAUCGUAAAACUCUGUUAUUAGGGAAGAACAAAUGUGUAAGUAACUAUGCACGUCUUGACGGUACCUAAUCAGAAAGCCACGGCUAACUACGUG
rnacentral:rRNA from 1 species